rnacentral:other from 1 species
AUUCCCCUGGGGUGCUUGUUACGGUUUUAAUUCUUUGAGCCGAUAAUCAUCUAACCCGGCUAUUGACCUGAUGGGUGCUGUUGCGCGCGUCCUGCUGGAAUCGCCUGAUGCACUCGGUGGGUAGCCACCUUCUAGAGGCUUGGGUUCAAGAUGCCAACCGGACGGCACCUGCGGGGGACCC